rnacentral:rRNA from 1 species
CCUACGGGUGGCAGCAGUGGGGAAUAUUGGGCAAUGGGCGCAAGCCUGACCCAGCAACGCCGCGUGAAGGAAGAAGGCCUUCGGGUUGUAAACUUCUUUUCUCAGGGACGAAGCAAGUGACGGUACCUGAGGACUAAGCCACGGCUAACUACGUGCCAGCAGCCGCGGUAAUACGUAGGUGGCAAGCGUUAUCCGGAUUUACUGGGUGUAGAGGGCGGGUAGGCGGGAAAGCAAGUCAGAUGUGAAAACCAUGGGCUCAACCUGUGGCCUGCAUUUGAAACUGUUUUUCUUGAGUACUGGAGAGGCAGACGGAAUUCCUGGUGUAGCGGUGAAAUGCGUAGAUAUUAGGAGGAACACCAGUGGCGAAGGCGGUCUGCUGGACAGCAACUGACGCUGAGGCGCGAAAGCGUGGGGAGCAAACAGGAUUAGAUACCCCAGUAGUC